rnacentral:rRNA from 2 species
CUGGCUCAGGAUGAACGCUGGCGGCGUGCCUAAUACAUGCAAGUCGAACGAGUUCUGAUUAUUGAAAGGUGCUUGCAUCUUGAUUUAAUUUUGAACGAGUGGCGGACGGGUGAGUAACACGUGGGUAACCUGCCCUUAAGUGGGGGAUAACAUUUGGAAACAGAUGCUAAUACCGCAUAAAUCCAANAACCGCAUGGUUCUUGGCUGAAAGAUGGCGUAAGCUAUCGCUUUUGGAUGGACCCGCGGCGUAUUAGCUAGUUGGUGAGGUAACGGCUCACCAAGGCAAUGAUACGUAGCCGAACUGAGAGGUUGAUCGGCCACAUUGGGACUGAGACACGGCCCAAACUCCUACGGGAGGCAGCAGUAGGGAAUCUUCCACAAUGGACGCAAGUCUGAUGGAGCAACGCCGCGUGAGUGAAGAAGGCUUUCGGGUCGUAAAACUCUGUUGUUGGAGAAGAAUGG